UUGCAAAACUGAAUUACAUCUCCUAAUAUUUACUUUAAACACCCUUUCACUUUGUCAGUAAUAUCCUUUUUUAGUUUCAUAGCUAAUGUUUUUCAACUUACUGAUCAUUUAUGGGUGUUACAUUA